GCAGAACUGGUGCUAACACAGCCUCGCUCCAAGCACAAAGACAAACUGUUCAGCGUCGUUUCAGGAAGCAAGGUUUUCAUCGGGCUGGCCCAAGCAGGUUUUAUGAGCCUCCCUCAAGUCCAUCUGGGUGCAAGGGGGGAGCAUAAGUGCUUUCUGGAGAGUUGCUUCACUUCACAGUUUCUGAAGGCUUAUGCUAAAUCACAGCCUGAACACUCAAAACCAGCAGCUUGAUGGCUUUGCCUCUCAUCUCGUAGUGAAAUGAUGGGUGCUGAGGUGAGAAGGCACCGCCGGGAGAGACCUGGGUAGGCACCGGUGUGCACGGAAGGAAACAGAAGGACUCUAGCUUGGAUUAGCAGUGUCUGCCUGCCUCCAAGGUGGGUUUCUCAAGGCUGAGAGCACCAGGAUAUCCCUCCAGGCUGAUGCUUCUCUGGAAGGCCUUGAAUGUGAAGGUGCUUUGUCAUGGGAACUGCGCCAUAUAUGGGCUAAGCAAAGCUAUUUGCAAAGCUCUAGUCGAAUGCAGUGGGUCAUUCCAGCCAGGUAAAACACCCAGCACUUGUGGGAAUAGGUCUUCAGUCAUUUCUGACUUACUGAAAACAGUUUUUUUCAAUUUUUUUCUUUUUUUUUCUUUUUUUUUUUAAGCACUGUUUUGUUCAGACAUUUUGCUGGAUGACAUUUUUAAACUGCAAAGUCUGGAACCAAAACUAAAAACAAAAACAAAAUGAUCUUUUGGGUUGGGCAGUCUUGUGUUGAUCGUGAAAAAGGGUUUUGGAAAUAUUUUUUUUUGCUUUGGCAAAAGAACCUGACAAUAUUUUUAGUUAUGGGUUGUCCUGAGAGUGUUUUUUCCCUGUUUCUUUGUUGUUGUUCAGUCUUUGAGGAGCCCUCCAGAUCCAUCCAACAUUCCUGCUAGCUGAGAUGUUGGGGAUGCAUCACGCAGAGGGGGGCACACCUGGGCCCAGCAAGACCAACUGGGUGCAGAAUGAGGGCAGGAGUGGCUCUGACAGCAGAUUCCUGGUGACACAGUUGAGAGUAGAUGCGGAUGGAAAUUGUUUACCCCCGGCUUAUGUGAGCAAAGAGAUUUCCGUGCCUCUCUCUGCCUGGCCUUCAGCACCAAAUGGCUGUCCGCACAGGGAUUCGGCUCGUGCUCAUCAGUAGAUCAGCUUCUCUCUGCCGCCCCUUGACCUUUGUAAAGAAGCAGAGAAGGGAGAGAGCAAUUCUACCUGAGCUUCUGCAUCUGCCACAGGAACUUUGAUAAACUUGAGCUGUAUUACUCACAGGUAACCAUUAAACCUAAGAUGCACACACGGAACAUGAACAGUUGCAGAGGUGAAUGAGGGAAGCUUCAGAUAGAGAUUGGCGUGCCAAGAUAAGGGUGUAGGGCUGGGGUAAGAAGCAAACAUAUUUAGAAGCGGUCAGUGGCAGCUGGGUCAGUGAGGGAUAACCCCCAAACCCCCCGGUGUCUGUUGGGUGAGUCCAGCCUUCCUUCCACUGGUAAAAAAACGCUUCUGCAAUGUGGCUGUGAGAGGUAGGUACGAAACAGGAGAGCUUAUGAGAGGCUGACUUUCAGGAGGCAUCUGAGGACAACCAGCAGACCUCACAGAGGAGGGAACAUGGCCUGAAUGUUACAAUACACUUCCUUUCUGUUGUCGUGCUUAAACCUGAGCAGUUUAAACUUGUGACAGGCCCUUGAGCUGCUACCUCAGCUAUUCCCCACUGACAGGGGGGUUAGCUAUUGCAGGCCAGCCUGGCUGCCCUGUGCUGGGCUGUCAGGAGCUGACAGCUGAUCAUUCUGCUGUUUGUUUGCCCCGCUCCCUGCCAACCACAAGUUCGAGUUUUGAAUUUAAACAUCCUGAGUAGCAAGGACGAGAUCUCUAAAUGGCACCUCCAGUUCGUUGCCAGGGAGGUCUUGCAUCCAGAAGAUACAAACAGCUCAACAAAGCCAAACCUAGGGAGAAGCAAUCAGACCACAUUUUCCACAGCACUGGCUUCCCAAGUAUGUGUCUGCUGGUUGUGGCUCAGAGACUUUCUCCUCUGUUAGCAUGCCCAUGCGAGGGACUGGCUGACCCACUGUGUCCAUAUCCUCGUGUUCAGCAUUAGGAGGAAGAAAAGACCAGGCAGUUCUUCCAGCUGACUGCUUCUGCUUCCGCCGGAGGCAUGGACUCCUGAGGCACAGACUCAGCUUGGCCCAGGAACAAUCGGGAAGGUUGAAUUUUGGUUGUCUCUGGAUUUUUUAAAUACCAUGUUAAAGCCCUAUUUUCCUUUGGGGGAUGUGGAUAGUUGAGUAUUGUCCAGCAGAAUCUUGUUGACUUUCUGGUGAGCUUUAACUGUAAAUAUUUGAACAAAAAUUUUUCUUUUCUUAGCCUUAGCAAAAUUUAAUCCUUCUGUACAUAAUGAAAUCUGGCUUAAGUCACAAGUGAAAACGAGAGUGGUAGUUUCGGGUGAUUCCUGAGUGGGUGUCAGUUCCAGUCAGCGUGCUGCCCAUCCUGGGUGGCAGCGUGCUCAUCAGGAAGGGCUGGGAGGGCAGCUGGGACAGCUGGGCAGGGCAGAGGUGCAUUGGCCAGGUUUAAUCUGCUCCUGAACAGGAAAGCAGGAGGGCUGCGUGUCUUAUUGGAUGAAAUGAGACAAAUGAGACAGGGCUGUCAGGAGAGUUGCCAGUUCUCACCUCUUCCCUUACACGUUCAUGAUCGUGUAAGGGAAUCCCUGUAGCUUGGGACCAGGCUUGCUAUAAACCCCAGUGCUUAAGCUGAUUGUCAGCCCAGCUUUAGGUGAAAUCCCCCUCUGCUCAGCUUGCUCAUUUGCUUUACUCCCUCUUCUUCUUCCUUUGAUCCAUUGCCUUUGUCACGCAGAAGGAUGGUGAAGAGGAGGCAAGAAGCUCUCCAGGUACCUCCACCUUCCCUCCCACCUCCUGUCUGCCUGAUUCAUUCCUGGAGAACUCUGCUACUGCAUGGGAUAGGGAUGCUGAGCUCCCAGAGGGCAGGCUGAGUCUGAGGGGUGGAAGAGGAGCACAGUGUAUGCAUUACCAAAGCAGAAGUGGGAAGAACAAAAAUGUCCAGGGGGGCUGUGAGGUAGGUGGGCAUGAUAAGAAUGCUCCUACAGCCCCAAAGGACCACCCAGGGCUCGUACACACUGGGGCUGGGAGGAGGCAGAAAGAUUCAGUACUACCAAGCUGACCCAAAUGUGCAACGUGAUCCUCAGAAAAACAAAUUCCUUAAAUAAGGAGUCUGAGAGGGCUGGGGUUCCUCAGAGCCGGCAGCGUUAGUGCUGCUGGAGGUGAGUGGAACGACAGGUCAGGAGCGAGGGGCAGAGCCAGCUGCCGGGGCAGCGGGUCAGGAUCAGGGCACUGGCAGAAGGGCUCUGCAGUUCUGAACAGAACACAGAUUUAAAGCAUUGAUGUUUUCAAUGAUCAAGGAACUGACAGCUACCCUCCUGCAGCCCUCCAGUGCCUUGAAAUCCCACCUUCCUUUACGAUAAACAGGUGCCUCACUGAGAUAGAUGUCUUGAGUGGAAACAUCUGGAAGCCCCCAGCCUUCACCCCAAAUUCACCCUGCUCAAGACACCCAAGCAGGCAGGACUGUUCCUCUUGCAUGCAGACCCUCUGCCAAGGGGGGUGAGUGCAGGACGCUUUUAAGGCUGUGCUCCUGUGCUUUGACCUGGGAACCCUGUCUGUGUCUGUGUCUGGGAACCCAUCAGGGAGGGAGGUGUGUGUCUGUGGUCCAGCCGUGCCCCGCUGCCUGUUUCAGGCCUUGGAUUCAGCAUAGGGACCAACUUCUGCUGUGUCUUGUGUUCCUGCCAUUCCUUCUGGGGGAGGAAAGCUCUGCUGUGCUGCUUUUGGCCCCUUAAAGCAGCAGAGUGCCCUUAGCAGCAAGGCUCAGGCCUUAGAAUAAAGCUCUGCAUAAAUGUCUUCAGGCUUCUGGGCACAUGCUCUGCUUCCCUGUGUGCUGCAUGGGCUCAGCCGAUCUUACGGCUGCCUCCUGGGGAUGGGAGGGCAGCAGGGUUUGUGGUACUUCUGUGGUGCUGCCUGAGCUCAGCGGUAUCACAGACCUGGCACUGAUGGCAGUGCAGCUUUUGCUGAGGGCUGUGCCAGAGCACCCCUAGAAACCGGUGUGUAGGGGAAGGACGGACAGCCCCGCUCCUGCCAUUUGGAGCAGCCUUUUUACACAUGGAUAUGGGGAGGAGGCAGGUGAAAAAGGAUGGCAACACCUUUGGGGAGCCGGGUGCCUUCCACCACAAUCGUGGCGCUGUGGUGGCAGAAGGUCCCCGGCUCUGGAACCGGACAUAGGGCAGGC
rnacentral:lncRNA from 1 species